rnacentral:rRNA from 1 species
AUGUUUCAGCCAAAUACAUUCAAUUUUAAGCCAAAAUCCCAUAUUAAGCUCGAUGAAGCUCAAAGAUGCAUAUUGGAUAACUUUUGGUUCCAAUAUACUCGCAAAAGAGAGGAACAAGGAUAUUUUUUAUCAAUUCUCAACAGUUUGGCUGAAUAUUUUAAUGAAUUAAACAAAAAUGUGCCAAAGCCAGCAAAGGUUGAAAUACCAAAAGGAGAAACUCUAUAUCUCAUAUUCGAUGGAAAUAAACCUGGCAUAUAUUUGGAAUGGGAAAAUAUUGUGGUUGAAAAAAAAAUAGAUGCAAAAAGAAAUGGACAAGAUUUAACAUUCAAAAGAUAUUACAGUAUAGAUGAGGCCUUACUUUGGGCAAGGAAGGUAUUAGGACCAGAUUAUUAUAUUGACCCAAAGGCCAAAGACUAUAUCCAAAUGAAAAGAGGCAUACCUGCUUCACCAACUCCCACAAAGGGGGAGGCAUCAAGCUCAAAAAUUAUAAAGAAGGAAGAAUCCCCAAAAUAUAAGACAUAUCAAGAAUGCCUUCUAAAGGGGCUUGACCCUUUAGACAGUGAAUACAUAGAUCAAGAAAUGGAUAAAAGGUUUGAAGAAUUUUCAAAGAUAAUAAAGAAAGAAUUAAAGGAGGAAAUAUUAAAAGAAUUAAGGUAA